rnacentral:rRNA from 1 species
AUUGAACGCUGGCGGCAGGCCUAACACAUGCAAGUCGAACGAGUGGCAGACGGGUGAGUAAUGUCUGGGAACCUGCCUGAUGGAGGGGGCUAACUACUGGCAACGGUAGCUAAUCCCGCAUACCAUCGGAUGUGCCCAGAUGGGAUUAGCUAGUAGGUGGGGUAACGGCUCACCUAGGCCACGGUCCGUAGCUGGCAUGAGAGGAUGACCAGCCACCAUGGAACUGAGACACGGUCCAGACUCCUACGGUAGGCAGCAGGGUGGAAUAUUGCACAAUGGGCGCAAGCCUGAUGCAGCCAUGCCGCGUGUAUGAAGAAGGCCUUCGGGUUGUAAAGUACUUUCAUCGGGGAGGCGUUACCCGCAGAAGAAGCACCGGCUAACUCCGUGCCAGCCGCCGCGGUAAUAC